GAGCCAUAUAUGAUGAUUACAUAGUUCAGCUGUAUUACUAAAUGAUGUUUAUUAUUUCGCUCCUAUCUGAUGUGGCAA